GUGGACAGGCCCUUCUCAGCAACAAAAAACAGACAUUUUCACCUGCUUCUUGCAACUGGGACAUGUGGCACACUGACAUUCCGAGCACCCACACUGGCAGGGGAAUGUGCCAAUUAGUGCCCAUCUCAUGGAUGGGGUGUGGGGGGUUUGUGGGGAGUUGGUCGGGUGGUGAGCCCUGGUAGGGGUGGAGUAUAGUUGCACUGACUCCAGACCUCAGGAAUGCCUUUCACUCAAAGGCAGGGUGUAAUUACUCUGCUAUCCCUCCCCUCUCAGGCUGCAGCAAAGGAAGUCCCAGCCUACAGAAUCUGUAUCGUAGGUGGGCAAGGCCAUGACCUAUACUGGUCCCACCCAGGAGCCAAAUGGAGAACUAAGGCAUUUGUGCAUCUGGUGUGUAUCUAGACGAGUAUGCGAUUUUAUACAUAUGUUUGUGUUCUCAUCCAUGCACAUUUAUGCUGUCAUUAAAACAUCCACUUCAGAUCAUAAACACAGCCUCGAUCCUCUAGUCUACAGUGACCAUAUGAACACAGUCACCCAACUGCCCUUUGUCACUUCUGUGCUACCACAUGUCCAUCCCCAUCCAUAUCCAUCACAACAUUGAGAGCCUUCCUGACUGCUGGUAGACUCCAGGAGUCCACCAGCAUUCCAUUCUAUGGCCUCAAGAAAGGGUUUCAAAGUUUCAUUUAUAAGGCCAAGGCAUGUCCGCAGUACCCUUCAACAAGCUCUGAGCAUCUCUUCGGCAUCCACCCAUCAGUGACCUAUUUGAGCAGCUGUUGGUUAUGCGGUCGCUAAGGACACAGGCUGACUGGGACUGACAGAUGUGAGCCAUGAGCCUGGUGGUUGAGACCCAGGACAGAGCCACUACCUCGACACCUGCUCCUUACAGUAAACACCAACAUUUGCAGCAGAGGUUUCCGAGGACAGUGGCAUGUGAAGAGAAUUAGGGCCAUAGAGAGUCUGUUGAGAAUAUGGAAAACUCAUUAUUGACUAUUGCUAGCAGAGCACUGUGCUGACCCAUAGAAAAGAGGAAUAAAUGAAUUAUUACUAAGAUGUCAAUAUAUAAGGAGUUCCUCAAGAUGAGUGUGUUUGUGUUUGUAUGUGCGUGCGUGCAUGCGUGUGUGUGUGCGUGUGUAUGUAUUUCAAUUCAAUUUUAUUUAGCGCUUUUCACAAUGUGCAUUGUUCCAAAGCAGCUUUACAGGAGAAAAUAAGAAAAACUGAAAAACACAAAAAAAAGGUAAAAUACUGCACAGUGCAUGGUAUUUGAUUUUCUUUAUGUAUUAUAUGUGUAUACAGUAUGUACAGUAAUUCCAUAACUGACCUCUACCUGCGUUUUUAUUGUGAGAGAGAGAAGCAUGAAAAGCACACUGAUGCAGGCAGCUGAUAUCUGAGUGCUGAUAACACUACCUGUACACUAGCAUGAGUUAGAAAAACGUUGGUUGGUAAGCGCUCCAAGGUAGCAUGUCUGUGACAUGACUAACACAUAAUGUUCUUACAAAAAUACAGUUUGAGUAGCUGAAUGUGCUGUCUCAUAGAAACUGAAUGUUACUCUGAAGUCGCACAAAACAGACGUUUUCCUUCAAAAGACAAGCAUAAGCAAUAAGUUACACAAUUUUUCAUAAAUUACUCAAGUUUUAAUGAAAUAAAAUUAAAUAAAAUAGUAACCUUAAAGGCACAGGAUGUUGCUACUGUAAAGAUGGCAAUCAUGGCAUUGUGUCUAAAUUGCUUUUUAAUCACAUAAUCUCUUUCUCCCUCAUUAUAUUGUAUUAAUGUAUUUUCUCUGUUUACAGCUGAUACUAUCUCCUCACCCUGUUUGUCCCUACCAAAGCCAAUCAUGACAGUGAGUCUGCAGGCGACAUUUUGAGGCCACAGGGUCACACUGAAGAUGAUGGUGUUUGCCAAGAGGAUGAUGCCAGAGGAGCUAUUGAAAGAAGAGCAAAAGAUGAGAAGAAAAGAAAGAGGAAAGGGAAGUAUUCAUUAGCCAAGUCAAGCUGCCAUUGUCACCUAGCCUCCUCAAAGGACCUGCUCUGGGACCAACAUGAUCUGUGGCCAGCACAUGUUUGUGUAUUUCUCCUGAGUGAUAAAUGUGUGUUCAUAAGACUGGAUGUAUCUAGCUACUGCACAAAUUGAAAUACACAGCUGAUCAGCAUCAAAAAUUGAAUUCAGCUAGCUGAGGAACUACCAGUUCUGGAUCACCAGUGAUGACAAAUGUGCAUGCUUAUUUGCCUUUCUGCACUGCAAAUCCAUUACGUCUUUAUGGAAUAAGAGCACUUAUUAACACACUCUAACACAUUCAGACCCAUACAGUUACAAAAAGAUACAGGCAAUGCAAAUAUGUACUGUAGCUAGAGAACUAGCUAGCUGGUUUCCCACAAAUUGAUAGUAAGGUUUAGGAUAGGCUUGGAUGCAUUAUAUAACAUGAAACUUAUAACACAAACAAAAAACAAAAAUGCGGAUUGUUUGUAUGGGGACUAUUUGUACACAAUGCAUAUUUCUUAAUAUUAAGUCUAAAAUGUGUUUUAAUGUCACUUUUGAUAAGGAUUGCAUUUUCUUUUAAUAAUAUAUGUAUUUUAAUGCAAGAUUUUUAAAUUGUACCUGAAGUAUACUUGCAAUAGUUCCACUUUAGCCCAAUAAAAUGCAUUUCUUUAUCUACAGUUGAACCUAAACAUUCUGCACAAUUAAAGUGCAUUAAAUGCAAAAUUAGUUGUUCCAAAUAGCAGACUUUAAAUAUACUUAUUUAUUAUACAAUAAGUGCAAUAAAGUACAUUAAGUUCAUUAAGUAUGAAGUCCAUAAAUAUGAAAAUGGAUUUGUCGUAUAGGCCUACUUUGAAUGAAAAAAUGUAAUAUACGUAUUUUAGUAUAUUUAUUUUGUUACUAGGGGGAGCCUUGCUGUUGAGUUAAGCAGAAAUACAAGCUAGAAAGCUAUAACAUUUGUCAAGAAGAGAAAGAAGGUUUUGGUAGUGUUAUGGCCACUUUGAAUGGACGAGGACCACCCUAGAGGCCAUUUAACAGAUCUGGUCUGGAGCUGAACUACCGUUCCCGGGGACCAUGGGGAAGGACAAGUCCUGGCUGUCCUGGCUCUUGACAGGGGAAAUAAAUCACUGCGCACACCGGAGGAUAGCCUUCCAGGCUGCAAACUGGGAACUUCAUUAUCCCGCCCCUGCUUCUUAUUACUAUGCACAUCAACUCUGAUUGGUCCUGGGCUCUGACGGACCGCAGCCUACUUCUGUCAGCCUUGGAGGAGCAGGGGAUCAGUCUUCUGCCACAUACAGUUAGAAAGCAUGCAAGGGGGAUGAGCGCAACUUUGAAUGGACCAGGAAACGGACAAGACAUAGAGAAAUGAGAGUGAAAGACAGCAGUUAAAGAGAUAGUUCACCCAAAAGUUAAAAUUCUGUCAUCAUUUACUCACCCUCAGGUUGGUCCAAACCUGUAUAAAUUAUUGGAAGAAUACUUGGAAAAAUGUCAGUAACCAAACAUAUCUCAUCCUCCAUUAACUGCCAUAGUAGGGGGAAAAAUAGUUUUAGAGUUAAUGGGGGAUGAGAUCUGUUUGGUUACCGACAUUCUUAAAAAUGUCUUCCUUUGUUCUUGUUUCCAAACCUGUAUAAAUUAAACACAAAGUAAUUUAUACAGGUUUGGAAAAACCUGAGGAUGGGUAAAUGAUGACAGAAUUUUCAUUUUUGGGUGAACUAUCCCAAGAGAAAACAUUUUACACACAGCACUCUUUCAUCCAGAGUGAUUUACAGUGCAUUAAAGGCCAUUUACACUUAAUCAGUUGUGUUCCCUGAGAUUCAAAUCCAUGAACUUACUAUGCAGGCCAUAUAGCUAUGGGAGCUACGAGAACAGGAAACUGAAGAGAAUAGAGAACAAAGAAUACGAUGGAAGGACAAAAAGGAAAAAAAAUGUAACAGAUGUAAGGGGGAUUCUUCAGGAAGCUGCUCAAUUUGGUGUUGUUAAAAGUGUAUUUUAUUUCUUUGAAAACCUGAACUAAACUCACCACCAUCAUAAGGAAUUUAGUUCUUAGUGGUUGCCCCUUUGGGUUUUUGAUCAGAGUGGAUUUAAACUUAUUCCUAACAUUUGAUCUCAAUGCACAUACUGUUUUGAAUUGUAUAUUAUUCUUUAGUGUUUGUGGUUCUAAAUGCUGAGAAUGUAAUGCUGACUCUGAGCAAAAUGUCUGAAGAGAACAAUGCUGGUUCAUAUGUAUUGAUUUUAUUGCUUCCUCUUCAUCCUGUCAUGUAUGGAAGCUUACGGAGCCCCUUUAGAGAGAUGGGGUGGAAAAAAUAUGAGAGGGAAGAGAAAAUAUAUUUUUAAAGGUUUUGCGUUAUCUCGCAAAAUGUUUGCGUUAUCUCGCAAAAUGUUUGCGUUAUCUCGCAAAACUUUUGCGUUAUCUUGCAAAACUUUUGCGUUAUGUCGCAAAACAUUGCGUUCCCUUGAAAAACGUUUGUGUUCUCUCGCAAACAUAUUUGCAUUAUCUCGCAAAACAUUUUGCGAGUUCUGACAUACACUUCAUGUUUAAUGUCCUGCUGGCAGAAUUUAAGACUAGCUCCAUACAUAAACAACAUUGGUAAACAAAAACCUACUGAUCACAAUACUAUCUUACAUGGACAACCACUCGGUCUCGCUGAAGCGUGCGAUACCUAUUUCUCAAUUCAGUCGUAUUCGUCGCAUCUGCAGUAGAGAUGAAGAUUUUCAUGAUCAAUCGGGACUUUUGGCAGAGAGGUUCACAAAACGAGCAUAUAGAGAAGAAUGGAUUCAGUCAGCUGCGAGUCGGUUCACAGAUAUGUCACAACAAGAGUGUCUUGUCAAAAAACAUAAAAAGUUUGAUCGUCGUAUUAAUUGCUAUAUGCAAUAUUCGCCUCUUGCUAAGGAGAUUGAGACAAUUAUAUCCAAACAUUGGCAUAUUUUGGAAAGUGAUCCUAAUCUAAAGGAAUGCUUAGAACAACCACCUCGUUUAGUUUAUAAAAGAGCGCCUAAUCUUCGUAACAUUCUGGUUAAGGCCGAUCUGCCAUCUACUCCUCAUUUUUUGAACACCAUACCACAUGGCAAUUUUAGGUGUGGGAAUUGCCAACAGUGCAACGUCACAUACAAAACUUCGACUUUUACACAUCCUCACACUGACAAAUUCAGGGUACAAUCUCUUGUAAAACAUCUAAUGUGAUCUAUAUGUUGAGGUGCCCCUGUGGUUUGUGUUACAUUGGUAAGACUAUAGACCUUUAAAAACUCGGAUUGCUGAACAUCGUUGCACAAUUAGACACCAGGAUCAAAAGAGUCCGGUAGCGCGGCAUUUUUGCAGAAAUGAGACAUUCAGUUUCGACUUUAAAGUAUAUCGGUAUUGAGUUAGUGAAGUGUUCACGACGUGGAGGCAAUAUCAAUAAGCGGCUUUUACAGCGUGAGGCCUAUUGGAUUUUUACAUUGGAUACGUUAUCCACCAGAGGAUUAUAUGAGGAUUUUGACAAUCGUCCAUUUCUUUAACGUGUUUUUUCUUUUUUCUUUUAUUCAGUGUUUUGUAUAGUUUUGGAAAGGUUUUGGUUUUAAGAAUGGUUAACAAUAUUUGUUUUUGUCUUUUGUGUGUUUGCAGGUGCAUAAUUUAGAAUUUAUAUUUAUAUUUAAUCAUAUUAUUAUUUUGACUUUUGCGGGUGUUUAUAUAUUGAUGUAUUAUAAAUAUUUUACAAUUAUAAUUGUAAUCUUUUUAUAUAUAUUUUUGAGAGGUCAUGUGAUCUUGUACACCUGGAGGUAUAAAUUAGGUUCAUCAGUGUUUUGUCUGAUGAAGAGCUUGUGUGCUCAAAACGUCAA